UAGAAUUUGAGAAAUGAAGAUCUCAUUUAUCAAAACUUUCGUAGAAAAGAUAUCAUGAUAAUAUCUCACUGAUGAGAAAACAAUCAAAAGAAUCUUUAGUUGAAGAGAGGUAUUGCCAAGGUCUUCUCAGAUUUUCGCUCUGCUUCAAUAAAUCAUUGUUCGAUAUAUAUCCUCUUUUCAACGUUCUCGAUAAUCGAUCGAUGUUGACUCGUAAUAGCCUCGUAAGAUGUCAUCGUAGACGUUAUAGUUCGUAAUAAAUCUGGCCCAAGUAGUUCACGUUCUCAUGUUUCAUCCAGUUACCUUUGAAUUCCAUAGCACAACACGUAGCGUAUCUUCUAUUUUCUGACUCGUCAACCUGUGGGUUAUGGGCCCACCUUGAUGCCAUUUGAAAUCCCGAUUAGCUCGAAGCGUUGUCGUCGAGGACUAACGUUCUAACUUACUCGUAGACAUCAUCUCUAAUAACUGGACUCAACUCCACAUACUCUCUAUCAUGCACUUCUCAUCUAUCAACCUCUAUCUACUAAUCUCUCCUUCUAAUUCAACACAACUCAUAUUCUACACUAACUCUUCAUAUCUCACAAAAACAACAUACCUCUUCCAAAUAUCUAACAUGGUCAUACUAUGAACCAUGCAUUUAUAUCAUCCUCAAAUCAAUAUGAUAAUCCGGUUUCAAAUAUGCAGUAUAGUCAGAAUACUCUGAACUCUGCAUUUUCACCAUUCUCAACUCAAUCAUUCACUAUCAAACUCUUCUAUAUAGGUCUAAUACUGACCUUUCCCACAAUUCACCAUCUCAAUUAAUCAACAUACUAGAAAUCAUAUGUCUAAACUUAAGAAUCCUAAUCUCUUUAGAUAUCCACACUUAACUUGAUCAUCUAACUAAACUCUAUGCUUCACUCACAUCUCUAGACUAUUCCUAAAUAGUCCGACCAUACCUCUAUGUGAGGUUACACCACAUUCUUCUCUAGAAAACCUAUAACUAUGAUCUAUAUUCUAAUUUCAAAUACUUAUAACCUGUUGCUCUGAUACCAACUGUGACAGUCCGAGAAUCCGGGGGUCUGGAUUCUGACGUCACCACAUAAAACCCAUUUUUAAACACUUUUGAAAACCUGUAUUUUUUUUUU
rnacentral:lncRNA from 1 species